GUGAAACAGAGAGUUGACCAAGCAAACUCGGUGAGACCGUUUGCAUAUUUUGGUGGGACCGAAAUUAUUGUAAUAGGCAACAGAGAGUUUGAAAGCCCAUCUCGGUGAGACCGAGAUCCCAUUGAUAGAACCGAAUUGGUUAGGGUUUCUGGCAGUGGCUAUGUCAACAAAACUCGGUGGCGCUGGAUAGAAAGUUUCGGUAGGGUCGAGUUUGUCUUUUGGUUUGGUACAAAUGUGGAUGUGAGUAAGGGGUUGAGGGCUUUGGAGCAUAUCACUAAGCACUUUGAGAAAGCAAGCCAUUAAGCUACACCUCAUUCCCUUUUAGUAGUAUUGGCUUUCCUAUGGACUCAAUGUGAUCUUGGAUCACUAAAAUAGAAAUUGUAGAGUCCAGAGCUUUGAGCUUGAGCCAAUCAUUUGUCCUCAUCAUCUUGAAGGGGUUCCACAUCCUCUAGUCCAUGCCACUCCAUUGUUGAACUUAUCUAAAACAUACUUGAUGAAAAGAUUAGUCCAACAAGAGAUAUGUUGACAUUGAUUACCAAAAUCACACAGGGAGCACUUGUGCUUUCAAUUUCCCCCUUUUUGGUAAUUGAUGACAACGUACAUCAAAGCUUUAGAUUAAGAUAUGAAGAUUAACAAGUAAAGUUUUGGAAGGACAUGUAACAUGCAUAGGCUCCCCCUGCAUGUAUGCAAACAUGUAAAUAUGGAAUAUAGGAGCAUGUGAAUGCAUAAGCAUGACAGAGUAAGCCAUGAGUUACAUGUAUCUUCGCUAUAUGCAUCAGAGCAAAUGGUGUGAGUAUGGGAAAUGUACCUUCAUGCUCAUGAGUCCUUCUUGCAAAUAGUAUGUUCAUCAGCAAUAAAUCCUCGUGCACAUGAGUGUGAUUGAUCAAUUGUAAGUACAGUGAGGUUUUCAUGCCCAAACUGCGGAUGUGGUGUUCUCCACAGGGACUAGGCGAUCAGCGGCUACGCUCGGCUAAAGCUAGGUAACAUUAUAUUGCGUGAUGAAGACAGGAAAUAAACCUAACUCUAACAAGGAUCAUCAACAAAGGAAAUGACAAAGAAGCAAAGGAAGGUUCAGAUUAUCUUCAACAAUCUUUUUGGUAUUUUCGUAAUGCUUGAGAAAUUAAAACACUAACAUAGACAAACAUCAAUGACAAAAGGGAAUCAAUAGGACAUGAAAAUAUAUAACCAUCAAACAUAUAACAGUGGGAAUAAGUGAGAAUAUAUGACAAUCGAACACACACACACACAUUUAUAUAUCACAGGUACAUAGCUGAUACAAGGACUAUAAAAUGUAGCAAGUUUCUACAGCAAGUAGUACAUAGGUGAUCAAUUUAACUAGUGAGCACAAACACAUAACAGUACUAGUUUCACAUCGAGCUACAAAUAAGCAAGAACAACAACGUGUCUCUGGACUGAACAUAUCGCAUCAUCACACAAUCAUAGUACACCAAAAUUACUUGAGAAUGUAGAGAAACAGAGUGAAGUAAAGGAACAUCAGCAGUGAGACUCAGAGUUCAGAACAGCAACAAGUUCAGAACAGCAGCAGAUCAUUUUCUUCAGAAAGGAACAGCAGCAAGAAAAGGGGACAGCAGCAGCGUGGGGAUGGAGAGAGGGGUAGCAGCAGUACGGGAUUCAGAGAAGGAGCAGUAGCAGGGGCGUGAGAGGGGAAGCAACAGCGUGGUGAGGGUUCAGAGAUGCACAUCAGCAAGGUUAGGAGAAGGAGCAGUGCAGCGGCAAGGUAAGGAGAAGGAGAAGUGCAGCAACGAGGUAAGGAGAAGGAGAAGUGCAACAACGAGGUAAGGAGAAGGAGAAGAUCAACAACGAGGUAAGGGAAGAGCAGCGAGCAGCAGGGAGGUCGGCGUAGUGGGAGUCGCGCGGGGCAUCAGACACCUCGUCUAGUCAGGCGCGCGAGCGUGGGGUUGAGGCGUGGUGGCGCUGGAGGUUGGAGAUGGAUGGUGCGGGGUGGUUGGAGAUGGUGGCGCUGGUGGAUGCGUUGGUGUAUGGGUGGAUGGAGAUGCAGUGGCGCGCUGCCACGCCGGCCUGACCGCGGCGGCGGCCCGAGAUGGAGAAGGAGGUGUGAGGGAGAGAGAUGUGUGCCAGGCCCUAUCCAAAAUUGAGGCAUGCUAGGGAUUUUGAUCCUCUCCUCAGAUCUCCACUUUUGCACUUCGGCCCUUCUACUUCUCUGCCUACUUCACAAGUUGAUCCCUCCACUCUUUCUUUCUUGCCCUUGAAGCUUUAAUAUUCAUCACACUCAAGUCCCUCUUCCUUCUCUUCUUUUAUAUGCUCAUCUCGAUUGCCACAUGGAUAGAAACUUGUAGUUUAUAGUGCCUUUGCGCACUUUGCUGCAAAAUAGACAAUUCACUAGUCGACAUUCCCUAUUAUGGUUAUCAUUCAAAUAUUCAACAAUUCUUAGCAGGAAUGGAUGGAUAUAUCUCAGUUAAUGGUAUAUUUGAGCAUCAAAUUAUGUAUAUGAAAUAUGCUUAUCAAGUUCCCCCACACUUAAAUCUUUGCUUGUCCUCAAGCAAAGGAAUAUGAAAAGAGCAAGAUUGUGAACAGUGAGCUGACUAGAGAAUGCCAAGUGAAGUAGAUCUCCAAACAAAGCAUGCUUUGAACUUUGCUAGUGAAAAUCAAUGGUUAAGAGUGCUACAAAGCAGUAGGAUACUAGUAAGCAUGGUCAUUUUAAACUUUUACAAUGAUAAAAGAGGAUCAACAAGUUUAAGUGAUGACUGUGCCAAAUGGUUCUUAAAGAGAGCAUGAUCCUGAGAACAAAAUGAACUGGAAUUAAAUCUUGUGAUCAAAUCACUUAUUUACAGAGAUAUAACAUUAUGGUUGAACCACUUAUUGAAUUUGAAAGAAACACACAUAUUAUUUUAUUAUUCUCACUGAAGGAACAUACCACUGAUCCCGAGAACAUGGUAUACACCUGGCUCAACCAAUUAUUAUUAAAAAAAUUGUUUGUCUCCCCAAAGGAACAUACCACCGAUCCAGAGAACAUGGUAUACACCUGGUUCGACAAUUACAUAUUUAUUUAUUAAUUACUACCCAAGCUAACCCGAUUUCACAUGCCACCGAUCCAGGGAACAUGACAUGCCACUGUAGGUAGUCAGACUUAUUAUUCAUUAUAAGAUAUAAUUUUUUUGAACAAAAACAAGAAUCAUCACUCAACCAUGUCUGGUUCACAUGCUACCGAUCCAGGGAGCAUAGCAUGCUAGUCCAUAGUGAUGAAGUGAUUGCUCUAAAUGGGAACACACUUGGCACAAAUACAUCAUCUGAACAUAGUGAUCUAGGUGUAUCAAGGCAAAUGCAGAAAAUGAUUAAGUUUACUAGUGCACUAGGGAUUUGAGCACUCAAAACUAAUAGUUCUCACUAAUUUCAGCAAAGUAAUCAUUGUAUAGAUCACUAGUUUACAAGGCAUUCAGAAAUCAGUUCACAUAUUCACAUCAAGCACCAUAUGUCAAAGAUAAAAUUAAGUGGGACAACAUUUAAGAAAUGGCUCAAGCAACCCAAAUAUCAAAUGAUUUCAGCAUGUAUCAAUGGAUGAUAUAUUAAGAUUGGGGUCAUGAAACAGCUCACCGGGCUUUGAUGUGGCACUCGCUCGACACCCUCUAAACUGCAGCUCUUCUGUUUUUGCUUCUCUAUCCUCAUGUCUGCUCCAUCUUCACUCUUCUUCGCGUGUGCCCAUUGCUUCUCCUCAUCACCAUGCCGUGAAUCCACCAGGAUCCCAUGGGAUGUCAUCUCGAACUUGGUCGGCUCGCAAUGAAUGGUAUACAUGCGUAAACCUGAAAGAAAACUCAACAGACAAGCCAAUACAAGUGAUAGGGACAAUGCCCUCUACGUCAUCAAUAGAGUAUCCUAUCACAUAAGCAUAUCUAUUGAGCAUAUGAUAAAUAGAUAUCAUCAACAAAUCGCAUGGUGCAUAGGCAGUAUCCAUGAUAUGGCAUAUCUUGUUGAGAAAGUUGCGAUCAUACCUGAGAUAGUUAGGAAGAAGCUUCAGGACUACCUCAAUUGAAGAUACCAAGUGAGGUGUGGUAGUAGAAAUUUCCACCGGACUCAUGUCAACAAGUGAAAUAAUAGAGCUUGGAUCCUUGACAUCUGAAUCCACCUCACCAUAAUCAACCAUGAAGCUCCCCAUCUCAGGCUCAAGUGUUGAGGAAUCAAUGCGGCUAACAUCAUCGAAGGCGAACUUUUCCAUAUCUGGCUCUAGCAGCACAUGAUCAAUAUCGACUAAAGAUGUCUCCUCAAUAUCAAAAGUAACUAACUGUAGCUUUGGUUCAUCCACAGAAGAAUCAUCACAAUGCAAAACUGAAUCUCGGAUGCUAGUAUCCAUAUGAUCUGAAAUGUGUGUAUCAACUAGGAUGGUGUCAUCAUCAUCAAAGAUAAUCCAUGAAAGCUCAAUCUUGUCACACGGAGAAACUGGUUCCGGCUUUUGUGUAAGAGAUUCUUGCUGAGAUGAAGUGAUUUGUUGCAAGCAAGCAACUGGGCCAGAGGUGGCCUUCUCAUUGUACCACUGAAGUUGGUGGAAGGCUAUGUUCUCAAUCAGCAAAAAAGCAUCAUCAAGUGUCUUGUUUGUAAUAGCUCCACCCGCUGCCAUAUCGACGUAAGCUCGAGUGUCCAAAGUCAAUCCUCCAUAGAAUAUCUGCAGCUCUAACCACCUCUCGAGCCCAUGAUUAGGACAUCUCCUGAAUAAGGCUUUGUACCUCUCCCAAGCAUCAUACAAACUCUCGCCUUCAUGCUGGACGAAGUUGAAGAUCUCAUCUCGGAUCGCGGACUACUUGUGUAGUGGGAAAUAUUUAUCCAAGAAUGCUUGUGAUAUCUCAUUCCAACUGUAUGAUCUUGAUGGCAAGGAUCGAUACCAAGCACGAGCAUCAUCUCGGAGAGAGAAUGUGAACAGCAUGCACUUGAUAACAUCUUGAGGAACUCCAUGGUACUUUACUGUAUCUGAAUACUCCAUGACUCAGAGCAACUGCUCAUAAGGGUCUUUAGUAGGCAAUCCUCCAAACUGAUGUUGUUGAACCAAAGCAAUAAUACCAGGCUUUAGCUCAAAAUUUUCCACCUCAAAAGAUGGCCAAAGUGGCCCUGUGAAAUAGCAUUGGUUACUUGGCAUCCAAACAUCAUGAAGCAUCGCCAUAUCUCAACCAAGUGUAAUUAUCAAUCAGCCUGUAAAUAGUUCAGAUUUCCUACGCACGCUCAUAAAUAGUAAACACUAGUCAAAAGGUUAGUAUCCUAAUAAGCCGAGGCAACAAUGGGAAAAGUACAAAAGAAACACUAAAAAUGAAAUACACGACGAAUUAAACAAGGAACUAAAGUAAACCUAGUCUAUAUCCUAACAUAAUCGCUCGACGCUGGUCCCCGGCAACGGCGCCAAAAUGAUCGAUUGUAUGUACAGUGGGGUUUUCAUGCCCAAACUGCGGAUGUCAUGUUCUCCACAGGGACUAGGCGAUCAACGGCUACGCUCGGCUAAAGCUAGGUAACAUGAUAUUGCGUGACGAAGACAGGAAAUAAACCUAAAUCUAACAAGGAUCAUCAACAAAGGAAAUGACAAAGAAGCAAAGAGAGGUUCAGAUUAUCUUCAACAAUCUUUUUGGUAUUUUCGUAAUGCUUGGUAAAUUAAAACACUAACAUAGACAAACAUCAAUGACAAAAGGGAAUCAACAGGACAUGAAAAUAUAUAACCAUCAAACAUAUAACAGUGGGAAGAAGUGAGAAUAUAUGACAAUCGAACACACACACACACACAUUUAUAUAUCACAGGUACAUAACCGAUACAAGGACUAUAAAAUGUAGCAAGUUUCUACAGUAAGUAGUACAUAGGUGAUCAAUUUAACUAUUGAGCACAAACACAUAACAGUACUAGUUUCACAUCGAGCUACAAAUAAGCACAAACAACAAGGUGUCUCUCGACUGAACAUAUCGCAUCAUCACACAAUCAUAGUACACCAAAAUUACUUGAGAAUGUGGAGAAAUAGAGUGAAGGAAAGGAACAGCAGCAGUGAGAGUCCAGAGUUCAGAACACCAGCAUGUCGUUUUCUUCAUAAAGGAACAACAUCAAGAAAAGGUGACAUCAGCAGCGUGGGGAUGGAGAGAGGAGCAGCAGCAGUACGGGAUUCAGAGAAGGAGCAGUAGCAGGGGCGUGAGAGGGGAAGCAACAGCGUGGUGACGGUUCAGAGAUGCACAACAGCAAGGUUAGGAGAAGGAGAAGUGCAGCGGCAAGGUAAGGAGAAGGAGAAGUGCAGCAACGAGGUAAGGAGAAGGAGAAGUGCAGCAACAAGGUAAGGAGAAGGAGAAGAGCAACAUCGAGGUAAGGGAAGAGCAGCGAGCAGCAAGGAGGUCGGUGCAGUGGGAGUCACGCGGGGCAUCAAACGCCUCGUCUAGUCGGGCGCGCGAGCGUGAGGUUGAGGUGCGGUGGAGGCUCGGUGGUGCUGGAGGUUGGAGAUGGAUGGCGUGGGGUGGUUGGAGAUGGUGGUGCUGGUGGAUGCGUUGGUGGAUGGGUGGAUGGAGAUGCAGUGGCACGCCGGCACGCCGGCCUGACCGCGGCGGCAGCCGGAGAUGGAGAUGGAGGUGUGAGGGAGAGAGAUGUGUG
rnacentral:lncRNA from 1 species